rnacentral:rRNA from 1 species
AUUGAACGCUGGCGGCAUGCCUUACACAUGCAAGUCGAACGGUAACGGGCCUUCGGGUGCCGACGAGUGGCGAACGGGUGAGUAAUGUAUCGGAACGUACCUUUCAGUGGGGGAUAACGUAGCGAAAGUUACGCUAAUACCGCAUAUUCUGUGAGCAGGAAAGCAGGGGAUCGCAAGACCUUGCGCUGAUUGAGCGGCCGAUAUCAGAUUAGCUAGUUGGUGAGGUAAAGGCUCACCAAGGCGACGAUCUGUAGCGGGUCUGAGAGGAUGAUCCGCCACACUGGAACUGAGACACGGUCCAGACUCCUACGGGAGGCAGCAGUGGGGAAUUUUGGACAAUGGGGGCAACCCUGAUCCAGCCAUGCCGCGUGAGUGAAGAAGGCCUUCGGGUUGUAAAGCUCUUUCGGCCGGGAAGAAAUCGCAUGGGUUAAUACCCUGUGCGGAUGACGGUACCGGCAUAAGAAGCACCGGCUAACUACGUGCCAGCCGCCGCCGUAA